CAAUUUUAGUUGUCGCUUCAGCCACUUGUUUACUCAACUUUUCCAAAGAUUCAAAAUAUCUAAGGCCGAAGAUAAACCCCCUUCAGCUACCAUUCCUUUGGAGGCCACCUGGGCUAAAUCUUCCCCUGGUGGGGCCGGAAGGCUGGGUGCUGAUGGUCUACUCUGCUGCUGUCGAAUUUUGCCAGAUCUUGUUGUUUUUUCCUGAGUCGAGUCUGCCAUAACACUUUAUCUAAGAGUCAAGGUCAGUCCCACACUUGCUUGUUUGUGGUGGAAAAUUCCCCUUUAGUCUAGCCAAUUCAAAGUGGAAAAUUCCUUGGCCAGUUGUAGCAAUUUCAAAGUUCCUCUAGGGGGACACAGUAGCAGUUCCAAAUUGUAACAAUAAAAUAACUGUCCAACUUUCAAAGAUCCCCCCUUAGCCACAAAUGGCAACAGUUUCAAAUCCAGUGGGACUUUUCAAAGUCAAAGUAUCCCUCUUGCAGAGCUAACUGUCAGAAAGUUACAUUGUCUUUUGACAGCGCGUUUCCCAAUACGGCAGUAUCAAUGUCCCUUGACAGCCCGUUCCCAGGCAUUAAGUGAUGGUCUUAGUUCCCUUUCUCUCUUCUUUUGCAGGCAAAACUUACUUCCCCUUCUCCCUCCCCUCUCCCACACCACAGGGAGGGAGUUCUCUCUUUGUUGAUGUAGGAUUUACAUCUUUUUCAACGCGGUUUCAAGCUCUUUGCUUUUGACAGUCUUUGCUUUGAUCUAUUUACAUAAAGGAAGGCGGACUUCCUGUUUACAUCUUCCCGCUUCGGUGCCAAAUUAACCCUUUUUUCCUUAAGUCCCCCGGUCUUCGGUCUUAACCUACUCACGGGUAAUUGUUUCUUAGCCAAAUUGUCACAGGAAAAAGGUCGGCGCUCUCCGGCAACAGCUGCGUGGCUUCACUCCACGGAAGAAGCAGUUGACUCUCAGCACCGCGCCAAACUCCCCGCUCCGUUCCGGAACUCUUUCCAGAGUUCCCUCGCGAGUUGGGGGGGCGCUAGGGGUGCCCGCCGAGUCCCACGGUCACAGGCUUCACCCGCCCGUGAUUUUCAAAAGGGUCCCUGCUUCGCCCUAGUGGCAAGACCCGAUUUCCGCGGAGCUAUUCCCUCGAGACUAGAGGGAAUCCGCCAUUGCCGAUGGCGCCGCCUCCGGAAGUCCCUCAACUGAGCAGAGAAUUGAUGACGCUUGCACCAGACAUCCUAUUGGGAGGAGCCAGUUUUCUGACUGCAUGUUCUGGAAGUGGGGUAGUAGAGGAUUCCCUGGCCGAGCUGCUUCAGGUCGUGGUGGAUGUUCUCUUGGAGACACCUAGUUUGGCUGUCCUAGGGGAUAUAAACAUCCAUGCCAACACAAACUUACAAGGGGCCACUUGGGACUUCGUGGAAAUCAAGGCCUCCAUAGGACUGUCCCUGAAUAAGUUUGGCCCAACUCAUAGUCAUGGACAUGCCUUAGACCUGGUGUUUACCUCUAUGGAUGUGGGUGAUCUGACACUAAGUAAAAGUAAAACAAAAAAAGUGCCAUGGUCAGGUCACUUCUUGGUGCAACUGGACUUCUCCGCUACCCUUCCCCUCUGCAGGGAGGUGGGACCAAUUCAGGUGGUCCACCCCCACCACUUAAUGGAUCCAAAUGGUUUCCAGAGAGUGGUAGGGGAUAUUUUAUCCCACGUUGAUGGCCUUUCAGAUGAUUCCCUGGUGGCCCACUGGAAUACGAGUUAACCAGGGCUAUCAACUGUCUGGCUUCGAAGCACCCUCUCUGAUUACAUGGAGCCCGGACAGCCCCAUGGUUGUCUGAGGGCAGUGAAACAAUCAUUGAGAUGCCUAGAGUACUGGUGGUGGAAAACUCAUUCUGAAGCAGACCAGACACAGCUUAGAGCUCAAAGCUGAGCCUACCAAGUGGCGAUAGUGAUGGCAAAGAUGACCUUAUUCACUGCCUCUAUUGCAUCAGCAGAAAACAGCAGCAGAAGACUCUUUCAAGUGGUUUGUAAUUUAACGGAAUCACCUGUGCCAUCAGGGCCUGAUAAGGCCCCCAAGAUCUGCUGCAAUGAUUUUGCAAAGUUUUUUUGCAAAUAAAGUCACUCAUAUUCAGAAAGAGGUAUAGAGCAGGGGAGCAGGGCAAGGGCAGGGGAGCAGGGCAAGGGUUAGGGUUAGGGUUAGGGUCUAAUCAAUUUGCAUUGGAUCAAUUCCAAUCUGUUACCUCUGAGGAUGUGGACAGGCUGCUUAGACGAGUGAAACCAACCACCUGUCUCCUUGAUCCUUGCCCAUCCUGGCUAAUAAAAGCUAGCCUGGAAGGGCUAGGCGAUGGGCUCUGCAGGGUGGUGAAUGCUUCUCUCUGUGAGGGAGUCUUCCCAGCCCCAUUGAAUCAUAGAAUCAUAGAGUUGGAAGAGACCACAAGGGCCAUCGAGUCCAACCCCCUGCCAAGCAGGAAACACCAUCAGAGCACUCCUGACAUAUGGUUGUCAAGCCUCUGCUUAAAGACCUCCAAAGAAGGAGACUCCACCACACUCCUUGGCAGCAAAUUCCACUGUCGAACAGCUCUUACUGUCAGGAAGUUCUUCCUAAUGUUUAGGUGGAAUCUUCUUUCUUGUAGUUUGGAUCCAUUGCUCCGUGUCCGCUUCUCUGGAGCAGCAGAAAACAACCUUUCUCCCUCCUCUAUGUGACAUCCUUUUCUAUAUUUGAACAUGGCUAUCAUAUCACCCCUUAACCUCCUCUUCUCCAGGCUAAACAUGCCCAGCUCCCUUAGCCGUUCCUCAUAAGGCAUCGUUUCCAGGCCUUUGACCAUUUUGGUUGCCCUCCUCUGGACACGCUCCAGUUUGUCAGUGUCCUUCUUGAACUGUGGUGCCCAGAACUGGACACAGUACUCCAGGUGAGGUCUGACCAGAGCAGAAUACAGUGGCACUAUUACUUCCCUUGAUCUAGAUGCUAUACUCCUAUUGAUGCAGCCCAGAAUUGCAUUGGCUUUUUAGCUGCCGCGUCACACUGUUGGCUCAUGUCAAGUUUGUGGUCAACCAAGACUCCUAGAUCCUUUUCACAUGUACUGCUCUCAAGCCAGGUGUCCCCCAUCUUGUAUUUGUGCCUCUCAUUUUUUUGCCCAAGUGCAAUACUUUACAUUUCUCCCUGUUAAAAUUCAUCUUGUUUGUUUUGGCCCAGUUCUCUAAUCUGUCAAGGUCGUUUUGAAGUGUGAUCCUGUCCUCUGGGGUGUUAGCCACCCUCCCAGUUUGGUGUCAUCUGCAAAUUUGAUCAGGAUGCCCUUGAGUCCAUCAUCCAAGUCGUUGAUAAAGAUGUUGAAUAAGACCGGGCCCAAGACAGAACCCUGUGGCACCCCACUAGUCACUCUUCUCCAGGAUGAAGAGGAACCAUUGAUGAGCACCCUUUGGGUUCGGUCAGUCAGCCAGUUACAAAUCCACUGAGUGGUAGCAUAGUCAAGACCACAUUUUACCAGCUUCUUUACAAGAAUAUCAUGAGGCACCUUGUCAAAUGCCUUGCUGAAAUCAAGGUAGGCUACAUCCACUGCGUUCCCUUCAUCUACCAGGCUUGUAAUUCUGUCAAAAAUGAGAUCAGGUUAGUCUGACAUGACUUAUUUUUCAGAAAUCCAUGCUGACUAUUGGUGAUCACAGCAUUCCUUUCUAGGUGCUCACAGACUGUUUGCUUAAUGAUCUGCUCCAGAAUCUUCCCUGGUAUUGACGUCAGACUGACUGGGCGGUAAUUAUUUGGGUCCUCUCUUUCCCCCUUUUUGAAAAUAGGGACAACAUUUGCCCUCCUCCAGUCUGCCGGGACUUCGCCUGUUCUCCAGGAAUUCUCAAAGAUGACUGCCAGUGGUUCUGAGAUCACAUCUGCCAGUUCUUUUAAUACUCUUGGAUGCAGUUCAUCUGGCCCUGGAGACUUGAAUACAUCUAAACUAGCCAAGUAUUCUUGUACUAUCUCCUUAGUUAUUCUGGGCUGUGUUUCCUCUGCUGAAUCAUUUGCUCCAAAUUCUUCAGGUCGGGCAUUGUUUUCUUUAUCGGAGAAGACUGAGGCAAAGAAGGCAUUGAGGAGUUCAGCCCUUUCUGUGUCCCCAUUUGCAUUUCACCAUCUUCUCCUCUGAGUGACCCCACUGUUUCUUUGUUCUUCCUUUUGCUACGGACAUACCCAUAAAAGCCUUUUUUGUUGCUUUUAACCUCUCUAGCAAGCCUGAGUUCAUUCUGUGCUUUAGCUUUUCUGACUUUGUGUCUACACGCGCUGGCUAUUUGUUUGAAUUCCUCUUUGGUGGUUUCCCCCUUUUCCAUUUUUGUACACAUCCUUUUUAAUCUUAACUCAGUUAAAAGUUCUUUAGAUAGCCACCCUGGCUUCUUUAGGCACCUUCCAUGUUUCUGUCUCAUUGGUAUUGCCUGACGUUGUGCUUUUACUAUCUCCCUCUUAACAAACUCCCAGCCAUCAUGAACUCCCUUUCCUUUUUUUUUUUUAAAAAAAGAAUAUUUAUUCCAGUUUCAAAGUUACAAAAAAAGAAGAAAAAACAAACCAUACACAUGUUAC